rnacentral:rRNA from 1 species
CAGCAGCCGCGGUAAUACCAGCCCCGCGAGUGGUCGGGACGGUUAUUGGGCCUAAAGCGCCCGUAGCCGGCCCGGCAAGUCCCUCCUUAAAGCCUCGGGCCCAACCCGAGGACGGGGGGGAUACUGCCGGGCUAGGGGGCGGGAGAGGCCGGCGGUACUCCCGGGGUAGGGGCGAAAUCCGUUAAUCCCGGGAGGACCACCAGUGGCGAAGGCGGCCGGCGGGAACGCGCCCGACGGUGAGGGGCGAAAGCCGGGGGAGCGAACCGGAUUAGAUACCCGGGUAGUCCCGGCUGUAAACGAUGCGGGCUAGCUGUUGGGCGGGCUUAGAGCCCGCCCAGUGGCGCAGGGAAGCCGUUAAGUCCGCCGCCUGGGGAGUACGGCCGCAAGGCUGAAACUUAAAGGAAUUGGCGGG